GUAGGGAAUAUUGGGCAAUGGGUGCAAGCCUGACCCAGCCAUCCCGCGUGCCGGAUGAAGGCCCUCUGGGUCGUAAACGGCUUUUGACGGUGAAGAACCGAAAGGGUGCGCCCUUUUUUGACGGUAGCCGUUGAAUAAGCACCGGCUAACUCCGUGCCAGCAGCCGCGGUAAUACGGAGGGUGCGAGCGUUGUCCGGAUUUAUUGGGUUUAAAGGGUGCGUAGGCUGGAGGGACAGUCAGCGGUGAAAAGCAGUUGCUCAACAAUUGUCUUGCCGCAGAUACUACCUUUCUUGGAUUGGGAGGAGGUUACCGGAACGGAUGGUGUAGCGGUGAAAUGCAUAGAUAUCAUCCAGAACGCCAAUUGCGAAGGCAGGUAACUGUACCUAUAUCGACGCUGAUGCACGAAAGCAUGGGUAGCGAACAGGAUUAGAAACCCCGGUAGUCC
rnacentral:rRNA from 1 species